rnacentral:rRNA from 1 species
GACGAACGCUGGCGGCGUGCUUAACACAUGCAAGUCGAACGGAAAGGCCUGCUUUCCCUUGUGGAUUGCGGGUACUCGAGUGGCGAACGGGUGAGUAACACGUGAGUGAUCUGCCCCCAACUUGGGUAUAAGCCUGGGAAACUGGGUCUAAUUCCCGAUAGGACUGCAGGGUGGUGCCUGUGGUGGAAAACAAUUUUCUAGUGGUUGGGGAUGAGCUCGCGGCCUAUCAGCUUGUUGGUGGGGUAAUGGCCUACCAAGGCGGCGACGGGUAGCCGGCCUGAGAGGGUGGACGGCCACAUUGGGACUGAGAUACGGCCCAGACUCCUACGGGAGGCAGCAGUGGGGAAUAUUGCACAAUGGGCGGAAGCCUGAUGCAGCGACGCCGCGUGGGGGAUGACGGCCUUCGGGUUGUAAACUCCUUUCGACCGCGAGGAAGCCACCUGGUUGGAAGGGUGGUGACGGUAGUGGUAGAAGAAGCACCGGCUAACUACGUG